rnacentral:lncRNA from 1 species
AUAUAUUCACUUUUUUUUUUCAUUUAAUUUUUAGGUUUAGGGUGUAAAAAGUGGAAAAAAAUUGAAAAAGUGGGGCCCACACGUGAGCUAAGGGAUCAUUUCAUCAUUUUUACAACUUUGCAAAUUUAAUAUAAUACACCUAACACCCUCCACUUAUUCCAAUAUUAAAAAAAAACUCUCUCUCCUCUUCAAUUCUCUCCAACUCCCGCAAUUUCCAACAAGCUCCUCCUAAAACAUCAUUUUUGUCUCUCCUUCUUCUCCAGCUGCUAAGGGCUCAUCGUUGCUUUAUAAGGUUAGUGAAAAUCAAGUUUCGAUUAUUUUUAGAUCCAUUUAAUUAAUGGAUUUCACUGGUAAUCGAUUCGUAGUAAUGUAGGAAAUUUAUUUAUUUAUUUUGAAUUUGGUUGAUUAAGUACUUAAAAUAUGAGAAUUUUAUAGGUAAUUAGUUUGAUUUUGAAGUAAUGGUUGAUGUUUUACUCGAUAUUUUUGAUAGAUUUUUUCGUCGUUCACGGUAUUGAAUUUUGAAAUUUUUGUUAAAAAAUUUUGGUUUAUUUCUAAUUUUUUUAGCAAUGAAGUGUUGAAUAGUGGGAUAAUUGUUAUUUUAAGAGUUAUUUGGCAAUUUGAUUCAAACAGUGACAUGUUUCUGUCCAUAGACCCGUGAUCUAUGAAAUGAGAAUGCCCUAGAUUGAAAUCAAUUUUUAGACGUAUGAAAUUCUUUUAAGAUAUGAUUGGUGAAAUAGUGAAAAUUGAAAGAUUAAUAGCAAAUUAGUUUGAUUUGUAGCAAUAGUUUAUUUUUACCAAUAGUUGAGUUUUGAUACUUCGUGUUGGAUUUUGGUACAGUUAUGGUAUUUUGUGUAGUGAACUGUUCAAUGGUGGGAUAUUUCUUAGUUUUUGGGGUUUUUCAUUCAAGCAUUGAGUUGUUUCUGUCAGUAGACUUGUGAUGUAUGAACUGAAAAUGGCAGAUUUAUUCUGUAGGUGUAGAUUAUGUUGAAAAUAGCUAAGAAAAAUAUAUUGCUAAACACAAAGCUGAUAGCGCAUCUGAUUCUGCUGGUAGCAGUAGACAAAAAAAUUGAGGCAAUUGAAAAUAUCUCAAAAAGGAAGAAAAUUAAAGAGGAAG